UGCAUGCCAAGUGUUCUUGAUCUCGGAUCCGUCUAAUGCCUUCAGUCGGUAAGUUUCUGGCUUUGGUACUUCGAUUACUUCAUAGGGUCCUUCCCAGUUCGGCAUCAGCUUUCCCAUGUUCUGUGGCAUAGAUGCUUCGACUUCUCUGAGGAUGAAGUCUCCCACUUCAAAUCUACGAAGUUUUACCCUUUGUUGUAAUGUUUGGCAACUCUCCGCUGGUAGGCUGCUAACUUGAUCAAAGCCACCUCUCUGACUUCUUCCAAAAGAUCCAAGUUGGCCUUCAGUUCGUCAUCAUUAUAGAUCUCUCUGAAUUGACUAACCCAAAGACUUGGAGACCCAAUCUCGAC
rnacentral:lncRNA from 1 species